rnacentral:rRNA from 1 species
GACGAACGCUGGCGGCGUGCCUAAUACAUGCAAGUAGAACGCUGAAGGAGGAGCUUGCUUCUCCGGAUGAGUUGCGAACGGGUGAGUAACGCGUAGGUAACCUGCCUGGUAGCGGGGGAUAACUAUUGGAAACGAUAGCUAAUACCGCAUAAGAGUAGAUGUUGCAUGACAUUUGCUUAAAAGGUGCAAUUGCAUCACUACCAGAUGGACCUGCGUUGUAUUAGCUAGUUGGUGGGGUAACGGCUCACCAAGGCGACGAUACAUAGCCGACCUGAGAGGGUGAUCGGCCACACUGGGACUGAGACACGGCCCAGACUCCUACGGGAGGCAGCAGUAGGGAAUCUUCGGCAAUGGACGGAAGUCUGACCGAGCAACGCCGCGUGAGUGAAGAAGGUUUUCGGAUCGUAAAGCUCUGUUGUAAGAGAAGAACGAGUGUGAGAAGUGGAAAAGUUUCACACUGUGACGG